rnacentral:lncRNA from 1 species
CAUAUUAUCAGUUCUUUAAAAUUUCUUUGUCUGCAGCUGGUAGUAGUAGGCCUUGUCACCAGUGCACUGAACUCUUCAAAUCUAUUUAGGGAUUGACCUAGCUCUUAUUGGUGAACUACUAGUAUAAGUGCAUGCAUAGUAAUCUGGUUUAUGUUUUUCUUGUUCGCUUAUCAUUUCUUUGAUCCAGUAUUUUAUGAUUUUAAAUAAUACAGUGUACUUACACC